UUAUAUAAUUCAAGUCACAUAAUUAAAUUACACUGACCUCAGAGAAUGUGUCUUUCAUCCUUGUAUGUAUGGUCACUAAGCUUUAAUGGCUUUAGCCAGAUUCCAGGAAGUCUUUUACGACCUCAUCUCAAGCGGUUCAUAAAAUAAACAAAGAGAAAAUCGUUAUAUCAAGUCAUAAAACUCUUUCAAUAAAUUAAUACAAGGAUGUUAUAAUUUAAUUUGCCUUAAAAUUU
rnacentral:lncRNA from 1 species